AACGAACGCUGGCGGCAGGCUUAACACAUGCAAGUCGAACGCCCCGCAAGGGGAGUGGCAGACGGGUGAGUAACGCGUGGGAAUCUACCUAGUUCUACGGAACAACAGAGGGAAACUUCUGCUAAUACCGUAUACGCCCUAAGGGGGAAAGAUUUAUCGGAAUUAGAUGAGCCCGCGUAAGAUUAGCUAGUUGGUGGGGUAAUGGCCUACCAAGGCGACGAUCUUUAGCUGGUCUGAGAGGAUGAUCAGCCACACUGGGACUGAGACACGGCCCAGACUCCUACGGGAGGCAGCAGUGGGGAAUAUUGGACAAUGGGCGCAAGCCUGAUCCAGCCAUGCCGCGUGAGUGAUGAAGGCCUUAGGGUUGUAAAGCUCUUUCAGUGGGGACGAUAAUGACGGUACCCACAGAAGAAGCCCCGGCUAACUUCGUGCCAGCCGCCGCCGUAAUAC
rnacentral:rRNA from 1 species